GUUUUUAUUUGGAAGAAAAAAAAUCAUUAAAAGGACAGAAUAAGUGUAAAUCAUGUUUAAAUUCAUUUCAGAGGUGUAACUGAUGAAGAGGUCUUGUUGGCUCUUCUGUGAAAGGGAAUUUCCCCACUGAGCCUGGAAUAAAGAAAUUGCAAGAAUGAAGUAUCAUACUGUGAUUUGAAGGAUUCUAAUCUCAGGAGAGGAAGAGACAAUUCUGCUGAGGCUGCUUUCUCUGUUAGCUGCCCAGGCACUUGGAAUUUGGGCCACAGACAUAUUGCAGUUUUCUGUGAGGUUAUUUGUCCGUGUAUAGCUUUUUGGUCACUACUAUUUGCUGGGAAAAUUGCUGCCUGGACAAAGCUGAAGAAAAAAUGAUAUUUAUGUUAUGUUCAUUAUUAAAGUGGAAGGAAGGUGGGGAUAUACAGUUUCCAUUAGCAGUACCGUCUGAGUAUCAUUAAGAAUUACAGGUUGAAGUCUUUCCCU